UCGGAUGCAUACGAGACGGGACCCGCCAACCGUAUAACCAACGGAGAUACCGGUCUCUUGAUGACAUUGUUACUGCUAUUGCUAUCAUACUGAAUAACCACUCUUUCAGGAUUCUUGAAAAUCGGUGUUAUAAUAUUGACAUUGUCAUCUAUGUGAUGGGAUUGAACAAUCUGGAUCAAGCCUUCAUCCAUCAACCACUGGAUGUCCCUUUUCACAACCAUACAUCCUCAGGGAUUAACACUUCAAAUAG
rnacentral:lncRNA from 1 species